rnacentral:rRNA from 1 species
CAGUAGCCACGGGAAUACGGAGGGUGCAAGCGUUAUCCGGAUUUAUUGGGUUUAAAGGGUCCGUAGGCGGAUCUGUAAGUCAGUGGUGAAAUCUCACAGCUUAACUGUGAAACUGCCAUUGAUACUGCAGGUCUUGAGUAAAUUUGAAGUGGCUGGAAUAAGUAGUGUAGCGGUGAAAUGCAUAGAUAUUACUUAGAACACCAAUUGCGAAGGCAGGUCACUAAGAUUUAACUGACGCUGAUGGACGAAAGCGUGGGGAGCGAACAGGAUUAGAUACCCCAGUAGUCCCUGUCUCUUAUAC